GCAGGCUAUGCGCCACGGACCGGCCGGCAGCCGACUCGAGCUCGCCGGCCUUCAGGCGAGCGCGCACCUGGGCGGCGUUCGGGUCGUCGAGCUCGUC
rnacentral:tRNA from 1 species